rnacentral:rRNA from 1 species
GUGUCAGCCGCCGCGGUAAUACGGAGGGUGCAAGCGUUACUCGGAAUUACUGGGCGUAAAGCGUGCGUAGGUGGUUCGUUAAGUCCGAUGUGAAAGCCCCGGGCUCAACCUGGGAAUGGCAUUGGAUACUGGCGGGCUAGAGUGCGGUAGAGGGCAGUGGAAUUCCCGGUGUAGCAGUGAAAUGCGUAGAGAUCGGGAGGAACAUCUGUGGCGAAGGCGACUGCCUGGACCAGCACUGACACUGAGGCACGAAAGCGUGGGGAGCAAACAGGAUUAGAAACCCCUGUAGUCC